AUUGAACGAUGGCGGCAGGCCUAACACAUGCAAGUCGAACGAGUUGCGGACGGGUGAGUAAUGUCUGGGAAACUGCCUGAUGAAGGGGGAUAACUCCUGGAAACGGUAGCUAAUCCCGCAUACCAUCGGAUGUGCCCAGAUUGGAUUUGCUAGUUGGUGGGGUAACGGCUCACAAAGGCGACGAUCCCUAGCUGGUCUGAGAGCAUGCCCAGCUACACUGGAACUGAGACACGGUCCAGACUCCUACGGGAGGCAGCAGUGGGGAAUAGUGAACAAUGGGCUCAAGCCUGAUGCAGCCAUGCCGCGUGUAUGAAGAAGGCCUUCGGGUUGUAAAGUACUUUCAGCGGGGAGGCGUUACCCGCAGAAGAAGCACCGGCUAACUCCGUGCCAGCAGCCGCGGUAAUAC
rnacentral:rRNA from 1 species